GACGCUGACCACACCCACUGAGGAAGACUGGCCUGGAGUGACAAACAUGCCAGACUACAAACCAACCUUCCCUAACUGGAGGACAAACCAGCUGGCCUCUGCGGUCAAACAGCUGGACAACACUGGUCUCGACAUCUUACAGCAAAUGUUGAUUUACGACCCUGCAUAUAGAAUCUCUGCCAAGAGGGCGCUGAACCAUACCUACUUUGCCAACUUGGACAAGUCCGGGCUUCCAGCAAACCUCACGGCGCCAACAUUUUGAUCUCUAGUCACAAAAGAUAACAAAUAUUGAACUUGGACCUCAUGAAUACACACAUGUAUUUGUCCGCCAGAUGAACAAAAAACAGGCACAGGGUUCCUAUUCAUGUGCUUAUGAUUGCAGGAAGAAGUUUUAUGCAAAUAUUGACUUUCCUGCGAUAUGGGAAAAAAAUAAUCAACAGGAAAAAUGUUUGAUAGUAAGUCAAAACUGUUCAGAAGCAAGAUGGUUCAACUUCAGGAUGUGCUUUUGUGCAUGUUGAGUGCCUAUUGACAUUUAUGUACUUUUAUGCAUGACAGUGCUGUAUGGAACAGUGAAGUGAUAAAGUCAUUUAUAGCAUUUCCAUUGGAGACCAUGGAUAAUAUGUAUAUAGUGUGAAGAAAGGUGACCUCAUGGAUUUUAUCAUAUCUUGGAUCAUUCCUCAGUUGUAGGAGGUGUUGUGUAAAAUCGGCAAAUUAGGCCAAAAUCUGAAAGUUGUGUGUUACAUGUUUGUCAGUCUGAAACAACAUACACACUUCCGUAAGGUUUUAUAAAGCCAGUUAUUAAUAGGCAAUAUAAAAAGCAAGAUCCUUGAUUUUUCUUUGUUUUUUUUAAUUGUGUGUAAACUCUACUGUAAAACAUAUUACCCGUACCUGCAGAUAUUGAUUAUUAAAAGGCAAAAUUUGUCACCAUUUGUCCGAUUUGGCCUUUUUGAGUGAUGGGGAAUACUAUUGUUUAGUCUGGUAAAUGACUGCACCAAAACUGAAACUUUUCUAUCUUUGAUAAAUAUUCUGUGAUUUUAGUAAGUUAGUGCUUUCAUCAUGUUCAGAGGCAACAUUAAGACCAUUUUGAGGAUUAAUAUACUUAUUGUAUUAAUACCACCAAUUGAAAAUUUCAAGCAGAAGGCAAAGUGUUCAAAAAUUGUUCCAUGCUACCUUUUUUUUCCCCUCUUUAUAUUUUUGCAUUUUACUAUAAACUGGUUUUCCCACCAUCCAUCUAGUUCUAGACAAAAUUUUCCUACAAGUAAUUCUGCCAACUUUUACUGUCAGAAUGAAGGUGCCUUGAUUAUCAAAGUGUUUAAACAGUUUUAAUCAAAUAUUUAAUAAUCCAUGCACCCUUUUCAUUUGUUCUUCUAUCUCAAGAUAAUGGGACUAUGGUAUUGAAAUACCUUGUAUCACGUGUUUUGUUCUGAAACCCAGUAGUAAUCUAUAAUAUCAAGUUCCCCACAGAAUAACAAUCAUAUCAGCCUGCACAUGGAGGAUGUUUUAGGAUUUUUUUACAGACUAUGACUCCCAUACCCCAUCUACAUUUUCCCUUGAUCUCUCUAUAUAAGUCUCAUUGAUGUUAAGGAAUUGUAUAUAGAUUAUAGAAAGGAAACACCUACUUGUGCAUUAUAAUUGGUGAAAAAAUCUCUUUGCUUCUUUUGUACUUUUUUAGUCUAUGUGAAAGUCAUUUUCAUACUGAAGUUUGUCAUUCUACAUAUUAAACCAAAAAUUGAGAAUUUUAUUUUACCAUACAAGUUUAAAAAAAUAAUUCUGUGUUUUACCUAUUUCAUUUUUUAGCAAAAAAAAUAAUUCAGUGCUAAAGAUCCAUAUCCUUCAACACUUUCUGUCUUUUUCUGUCUUUUUCUCCUCCCUAUCUCUUCUAUUGCUCCUUCUCUUUUUCUUCUUCUUGUCUAUCCUAAGAUCUAAACUUCAAUAUUUACGUGUUCUCACAAAUUUCUUAGUGUGCAAGUUCAUGAACCUGAGCGGAGUUUUUGUAUGCAUGUUCAAAGUGAGUUGUACCUUAUAUUAUUGUGUUGUUGUACCAACAUAAAUCUGAUGUUUUUAUGCUAAAAAUAUUGAAAGGGACAUUCAAGCCUAAGUGUAAAAAUAUGCCUCUGUUCUAGAAGUUUAUUAAAUCUUGAACCUUUCAGAUGCAUUGUUGUCGCUGUGAUUAAUUAGCAUACUGUUUGCUGUUAGAUACAUAAAAAAAAAACCACUUGUCAAUUACACUGUGAUCAAAGGCUUACUGUAAUUGUUCAGUGUUUAAUUUCCGGUUGUAAUGGAAUUCUCCUUUCUUUUGAAAAAUCAAGCCAUAAAACGUCUGUUCGUGUGAAUGUCCCAUUAAAUAUUGGUAUGACCGAAUGUUGAGAAUUUCCAGCACAGGACGAGAUUACAAAUCCUUCCACCAAUGUGUUCAAGGUGUGAAUAUUAGUUUUAUUAAUGUUUAGUUCGGACUUUUAAUACUUUGCAUGUGGUAAAAUUUGUUAAAAAAAAGAUCAACUUCAUAAUUUAGCAACAUGACCUUAUGUAAAAAGUUCACUAACCAUUAUCAUACUUCUUGGAAAAUCAAGAAAUAAAGUGUGCAUUCCAUUCAAUGUGUAUUGAGAGUGUGACUGAAUACUAACCCAUGGGUAGCUAUCAACUGGGUUGCUAAUUAACUCAUGGGUAUCGAGGCUCGUCAAGCGUUGUGAAAUCUAUGUGUAAAAUGCAUUGCUGGCAUUUAACAAGAGUUUCAUAUUAUAUAUAAUCAUUGGUGAAUUAAUUAUGGACGGUAUGUGGGGCAUCAUUAUAAUGUCUUGUAUGUUGAUUGUGUUUGAAUGGCACAGUGUGUUUGUGUAUGGAAAAGAAUGUAUCAUGCAAUAUUUCAAUUUGUGAUCACUUAAUUGUGUAUUUAUACUGGUAAUUAGAUCACUUGUGAUGAAAAAUAAAUAAAUUAAAAAA
rnacentral:lncRNA from 1 species